AAACUACAGCCGAUGGUGAACAAGAAGAGAAAUGCUCGCGAAGAAUGGCUUCGAAUUGUUUUAAAGGACUAGAGAAAAGACGGUAGAUCUUCAGAAACAAAUAAGAUUUUCCUUUGUGAGCGUCAUUUGAAGCCAUUGUAAAUUUUGCAUUUUAUGCAUGCGCUUGUGUGAUCAGAUGUAAACAAAGAGGGCAUUGUAUUUGCAUAUUUACAUAUCCCAUGUCUAUUAAAUAUCUAUCUUCUGUAGACCCCAAACGAAAGAUUUUAUAACUGGUAGCGUACCACUGAAAAUUUACCUACAAUAAACACGAAGUUCCCAAGGCUGAGCGUCGCAUUCUCAACGUAUAAAUACCAAAUAAAC